rnacentral:rRNA from 1 species
AACGGCCAUACCAUGCUGAAUAUAUCGGUUCUCGUUAGAUCGAAGUCAAUCAUCAUUGAGCGCGGUCAGUACUUGGGUGGGUGACCACCUGGGAACACCGCGUGC